AGGCCCGCCCCUAACCGCUAAUCACCUGGCACCGUGCUCGAAGCGGCGCCGAAAGUCGUCCGCACGCGGAAAGGGAGGACAUUACUGAUGUAAAAUAACGAUGAUACAGAAAUAGAGAAUGGAGGUGGCACCUGUACCUUUGCUUCAGACGCUAGCAAUGCUUCAACUUGUGGUUACUCUAUCAGCCUUGGUCCCAUCAAAUGACUGACACAGAGCAGAUAUUCCAAGCCGGCUAAUAGUGACUAUGCAGAAUGCACAAGAAAUAACUUAUGUUGUUUAGAGACACUGGGAUUUGAGAUUGUUAGUUAGCACAUAUAACCUAGCACUUAUUUAAUGGUAUAGAGAUGGAGGAAGUUUCUAGAAGUCCAUUUUGUUAAGGAAGACCCCAAUUGCCAAUGACCACAAUGUGAUAUAAAUUUAGAAACAUAAGAGAAUGUGGGGGACAACUGCCUG